rnacentral:lncRNA from 1 species
GAUUUUUUUGCACCAGAAAAGGUUACUUACCUGGAGCACACCGGAGAUCCACAUAGGCCGGCUACCUCAAGGCUGGAGCCAUGACAGCUGUCAGCCACUACUUUGAGGCUGCCUGGCCACUUCCGGUGCCGCUGUGCUCACUGGGAGGAAGAGGCGGGUCCUAGAUGGCUGGCGCUUGCGCAGUCGGCUGGUGGAGAGCAAGACCCUGUAUCCGGCGGUGUUGGCGUGUUGUCCGCUGCCGGAGUUAUCCGCUGAUGGCAGCGUUGUCGGUGGCGGUGCUGGCCCGGAGAGUGCGGGAAUGAAGACAUCUUCAUGGAUAUGAAACUGGACACACGAGUUGACGCUGAAGUUCAUCUGCUGGGUUCGGAGGCAGCACGGGUGGGCAGCGGCUCAGCCAUGAGGAAGCCAAGAAGCGGAUGUCUGCCUCCCCUCCUCCCCCGCAGAGGGCACGGAUGUGAAACUAACGCAGGGUGGGCGCUGAAGCUCAGCUGCUGGAUAAUCUUCCAGUUCCGGAGACUGCACGGCUUCUGCUCAACCCCAGCUGGGCCUUCAUCCUGGAGAGGAGCAGUGCCAUCGGACACAUUGCUGGGGAAAGCAGACAUGAGCCUCCUUCAGCACCGGACACAGCCUAGGAUCCUGCUGGGCUCAGGACCUCCCCUCCCAUCUCGAGUCCCACGAGAAAAGAGUUAUUUGCCAAAGAGUGAAUAUCAAGGCCUUGACAAUUAUUCUAGCGAGGGCACAAUGUUCGACUCCCAAAACAAUGUAACCCAGUGGUUUUCAGCAAGAAAACGGCUGAAUUCCCAAAGGAAUUCCUUACUGUUAGUAAGACCUCUGAAAAUUCACUAGUGAGAAUAAAUGCCACGAAAUCUAACA